ACGAACGCUGGCGGCGUGCUUAACACAUGCAAGUCGAACGGAAAGGCCUUUUCGGAGGUACUCGAGUGGCGAACGGGUGAGUAACACGUGGGUGAUCUGCCCUGCACUCUGGGAUAAGCCUGGGAAACUGGGUCUAAUACCGGAUAGGACCGCACUUUAGUGUGUGUGGUGGAAAGUUUUUUCGGUGUAGGAUGAGCCCGCGGCCUAUCAGCUUGUUGGUGGGGUAAUGGCCUACCAAGGCGGCGACGGGUAGCCGGACUGAGAGGUUGGUCGGCCACAUUGGGACUGAGAGACGGCCCAGACUCCUACGGGAGGCAGCAGUGGGGAAUAUUGCACAAUGGGCGCAAGCCUGAUGCAGCGACGCCGCGUGGGGGAUGACGGCCUUCGGGUUGUAAACUCCUUUCGCCAGGGACGAAGCGUUUUGUGACGGUACCUGGAGAAGAAGCACCGGCUAACUACGUG
rnacentral:rRNA from 1 species